GUAGACUUAACACAUAAGCAUUAUUUUAAAUUAGGGAGACAACUAUAUAAAAUUUAUGUACUGUAUAUAAAUUUAUUCUUCCCAAGAUCUUACACAAAAGCUCCUGACUUUGGUCUUGAGAGUCCUUGUACAUAGGCACUGUUGCAGUGAGGUUAAGAACAACAAAAUUAAAGGGUGAUGUAGCAACAAUACAAGAUGUUCUCAUGUUUAACCCCCAUUAAAAGAAAUCAUUCACUUUCUGGCUACUAGUUCCCAGGCAUCUGAUCUCAGUUACCUAGGAGACUUCCUCCUGAAAGGACCCACACUCACGCAUUCCAGCAGCAAGCAAGUCAUUGUGAUGUCACUCCAGGUUCUCAUGUGGUCCCAAAGCUAUUUCACAUCUCAUUGUUUAGCUGGAUGAGAUCUGAUCAUGUGUGUUCUCCAGUCUCUAACCUGGUGCAGAGAAUCAACCAGUUCUGAAGCAAAACUCAGCUUUAUUAAAGGAAACAGAGUGGAAGGCCAAGGAGUUUAGUCUCAAGAGAAAAAGAUCCUAAUGAGAAUGAGUAAUUUGUUAAACCAAACAUCACCAGUGAUUUCUAGGGGGAAAUUCUCCUCUUCUUCAGUGUCAUGAGCAUAUGGAGUUUCCUAUGUAGGAUAAAUAUAGAAAAUUCAGAAAUACGGAAAAUAAAUGUGUGUCUUUUUCCAUCCAUGAAAGUAAGCAAAGAGCAAACCCAGCAAGUACUUUGUCAAAGGAAUGCCUCUAGCUGGCUAUUUUGCUGCCCAUUCAGAUUAAAUAUACCCAAGAGAACUGUUCACUACCUUUACACUCCUCUGGUUCCAAGGAAGUACUGUGUUAGGAAAACAACCAAACAAAUGAACAAAUAUGACUUCUGGAAUCAACAGACCUUAGUUUCAAUCAAGUCCUCUCCUAUAGCAGUUGUGUAAAUCUGGAGAUGGUUGAAGACUAUUGACCCUCAAGUUAUCAAAAGUUUUUAACACAUUAAAAAAUGGAACAGGAAGGAAGAUGAAAAGAUAGACUGCCAAACCUGUAAUACCCCAGUCUACGAAACUUAAGUUCAACAGGGCAAUGAAUAAGAAAUACUUCUCAACAAGCAAAGAAUGGUUUACAACCAUGGAGGCAUUCUGAGAGAAGUAAAUAUGUCAUCGAUUUUAAAUAGCAGUAUUAUCCAGAAGAGAACAGAUCAAUAGAAGUUGCAUAGGUUUUCAGAUGCUUCAGGAUAUUAAAGAACAAUCCCAUUUCCCCCUCCAUAAACCAUUCCAUCCAGAAGAGUAAUUUAAAAUGUGUCAUAAAUCAUUACCUGCUCAGCAACCAAUCAACAUCCAGGAAAAGUUAUAUCUCCCCCUAUUCUGCCUUGGAACAAUCAGAAAUGUUCUCAUUUUUGCUAAAACACAGGCCUGCCUGGUCCAGCCCUUUUGACUGGAUACAUGGGAGAAAAUAAAUUUUCUUUCAGAUUUAAUAUGGCAAAUACGAAAAGAAAAAACUGAUACAUUUCUUCAAAUAACUUAAAAGUACUGAAUGAUUUUUACUUAGGUGAUGUUCAUUACAUCCUUGUAAAUGAGUUGGUAAUGUUUAUUGCUGUUUCAAGAAAGCAUGAACAGAUACAGGUAAAUACAAAGAUUUGCUCCAUGCACAAGAUAGAAAGAUGAAGACUCAUAAUGAAAAAAGACUCAGAUUUUCAUGAGUGGUGUCAACACUCUAUGUAUGAUCCCACCUUCCUUGUUAGCCUGGAUGUUACUCUUAGAAAGUAAGAUUAUUCGUUCAUUGCCAAUUAUUUUCUGACCUUUUCAUUUUCUGAAGUUUUGUGUUGUUAAAAAAAAAGGUACAUUCUAUGAACUCUGGGAGUUUGUGCUAGUAAAAGAUAAAAUGUGUAAUCAAAUAGCUUUUUUAUAAAGUGAAAUGUAACAUGUUUUAAGAGACAGGUAAACACGCU
rnacentral:lncRNA from 1 species